rnacentral:rRNA from 1 species
CAGUCGCCACGGUAAUACGGAGGGUGCAAGCGUUAAUCGGAAUUACUGGGCGUAAAGCGCACGCAGGCGGUUUGUUAAGUCAGAUGUGAAAUCCCCGAGCUUAACUUGGGAACUGCAUUUGAAACUGGCAAGCUAGAGUCUUGUAGAGGGGGGUAGAAUUCCAGGUGUAGCGGUGAAAUGCGUAGAGAUCUGGAGGAAUACCGGUGGCGAAGGCGGCCCCCUGGACAAAGACUGACGCUCAGGUGCGAAAGCGUGGGGAGCAAACAGGAUUAGAUACCCGCGUAGUCCCUGUCUCUUAUAC